rnacentral:rRNA from 1 species
AUUGAACGCUGGCGGCAUGCUUUACACAUGCAAGUCGAACGGUAACAGGUUAAGCUGACGAGUGGCGAACGGGUGAGUAAUGCAUCGGAACGUGCCCGGUCGUGGGGGAUAACGCAGCGAAAGCUGCGCUAAUACCGCAUACGAUCUGAGGAUGAAAGCGGGGGACCGUAAGGCCUCGUGCGAUCGGAGCGGCCGAUGUCAGAUUAGGUAGUUGGUGGGGUGAAGGCUCACCAAGCCAACGAUCUGUAGCUGGUCUGAGAGGACGACCAGCCACACUGGGACUGAGACACGGCCCAGACUCCUACGGGAGGCAGCAGUGGGGAAUUUUGGACAAUGGGCGCAAGCCUGAUCCAGCCAUGCCGCGUGCGGGAAGAAGGCCUUCGGGUUGUAAACCGCUUUUGUCAGGGAAGAAAAGACUCCUGUUAAUACCGGGGGUUCAUGACGGUACCUGAAGAAUAAGCACCGGCUAACUACGUGCCAGCAGCCGCCGUAA